UACGUAGGGUGCGAGCGUUAAUCGGAAUUACUGGGCGUAAAGCGUGCGCAGGCGGUUUUGUAAGCCAGAUGUGAAAUCCCCGGGCUCAACCUGGGAAUGGCAUUUGGGACUGCAAGGCUGGAGUGCGGCAGAGGAGACUGGAAUUCCUGGUGUAGCAGUGAAAUGCGUAGAUAUCAGGAGGAACACCGGUGGCGAAGGCGGGUCUCUGGGCCGAAACUGACGCUGAGGAGCGAAAGCGUGGGGAGCAAACAGG
rnacentral:rRNA from 1 species